AACGCACAUUGCGCCCUGUGGUAUUCCGCAGGGCACGCCUGUUCGAGCGUCAUUUAACCCCCUCAAGCUCUGCUUGGUGUUGGGCGUUUGUCUUGCCGUUUGGCCUAGACUCGCCUUGAAAAUAUUGGCAGCCACCUCCCUAGCCUUGGACGCAGCACUCUUGCGCCUAGUACAUGGGGGAUGUUGUUUCCCAAAAGCCCAUUUUUAAGUUGACCUCGGAUCAGGUAGGGAUACCCGCUGAACUUAA
rnacentral:misc_RNA from 1 species